GAUGAACGCUGGCGGCGUGCCUAAUACAUGCAAGUCGAGCGAACAGACGAGGAGCUUGCUCCUCUGACGUUAGCGGCGGACGGGUGAGUAACACGUGGAUAACCUACCUAUGAGACUGGGAUAACUUCGGGAAACCGGAGCUAAUACCGGAUAAUAUAUUGAACCGCAUGGUUCAAUAGUGAAAGACGGUUUUGCUGUCACUUAUAGAUGGAUCCGCGCCGCAUUAGCUAGUUGGUAAGGUAACGGCUUACCAAGGCAACGAUGCAUAGCCGACCUGAGAGGGUGAUCGGCCACACUGGAACUGAGACACGGUCCAGACUCCUACGGGAGGCAGCAGUAGGGAAUCUUCCGCAAUGGGCGAAAGCCUGACGGAGCAACGCCGCGUGAGUGAUGAAGGUCUUCGGAUCGUAAAACUCUGUUAUUAGGGAAGAACAAAUGUGUAAGUAACUAUGCACGUCUUGACGGUACCUAAUCAGAAAGCCACGGCUAACUACGUG
rnacentral:rRNA from 1 species